UAGGGCGGCCAAAGUGGCCGGGAAACACCCGUUCCCAUUUCGAACACGGAAGUUAAGCCGGCCCACGUCCGCAGGAGUACUGGCGAAGGCCGGGAAACUGCGGAAGCUGCCCGCC
rnacentral:rRNA from 2 species